UACGAAGGGGGCUAGCGUUGUUCGGAUUUACUGGGCGUAAAGCGCACGUAGGCGGAUUGUUAAGUGAGAGGUGAAAUCCCAGAGCUCAACUCUGGAACUGCCUUUCAUACUGGCAAUCUAGAGUCCGGGAGAGGUGAGUGGAACUGCGAGUGUAGAGGUGAAAUUCGUAGAUAUUCGCAAGAACACCAGUGGCGAAGGCGGCUCACGUGGCCCGGUACUGACGCUGAGGUGGCGAAAGCGUGGGGAGCAAACAGG
rnacentral:rRNA from 1 species